GGGCUAAGCUCGUAGUUGACUUGUGCGUACCCCUGAUGUCCUUUUUGGUACGUUUGGGGGUGUGCAUCCUUGGGUGGAACCUGUGUGGCAUUAGGUUGUCGUGCAGGGGAUGCUCAUCGUUUACUGUGAAAAAAUUAGAGUGUUCAAAGCAGGCUUAUGCCGUUGAAUAUAUUAGCAUGGAAUAAUAAGAUAGGACCUUGGUACUAUUUUGUUGGUUUGCGCACCGAGGUAAUGAUUAACAGGGACAGUUGGGGGUAUUCGUAUUCCAUUGUCAGAGGUGAAAUUCUUGGAUUUUUGGAAGACGAACUACUGCGAAAGCAUUUACCAAGGAUGUUUUCAUUAAUCAAGAACGAAAGUUAGGGGAUCGAAGAUGAUUAGAUACAUUUCGUAGUCAUCGUAGUCAAGUGAAAUUCUUAGACCGCUCAAAGACGAACUACAGCGAAGGCAUUCUCCAAGGAUACCUUCCCUCAAAUCAAGAACCAAAGUGUGGAAGAUCGAAAGAUGAUUAGAUACCCAUCGUAGUCAGG
rnacentral:rRNA from 1 species